rnacentral:ribozyme from 12 species
AAAAGAAAAAUAAGAAAAAUAGAAGCACGAGGUGUUUGCGACACGAUCGAAAAUGCUCGGAUUUUUGGUGUUGUUCCAAGAUGAAGAUCGAGUCAUCAUCAUCAUCUUCUUCUUCUUCUUCUUUGUCUUCCUCUUUCUCUCCUCCUUCGGUGCGGCCUGAAAAUCUUGUGAUGGAUGGGU